UAAAUUGAGAGUUUGAUCCUGGCUCAGGACGAACGCUGGCGGCGUGCCUAACACAUGCAAGUCGAGCGAGGGGAGUUCUUCGGAACAAACCUAGCGGCGGACGGGUGAGUAACACGUGGGCAACCUGCCUCAA
rnacentral:ncRNA from 1 species